CCCCGCUGAGGGGAAAAGGAAGGGGCCUGAGGCCGUGAGGAAUUCUGGGAGUUGGAGUCCAAAACACUUGAAGGGAAGGAAGGCCCAAGCUGGCCCAUUCCUCUUCUACACAAGAGUCCGUUCCACAGCCUUGAGGGAAAUCAGUAAUGAAGCAUAGAAACGAGUUGCUUGUACUUGGGAAAGGACACUGAGGGCCUCCUUGUCAGCGUUACUCAGCACCUUUUCGUUUUCCAAGCGGAAAGAAGGCUCUGCGAAAGCGAGGCUCCCUCUGCUGUUUGCAUCAAUCAUUCUCUAACAAAUUCCUCUGAGGCACAAUGCACAAUCAUACUUUGAGCUGGAUGACUUCUCCACUUUCCACCUCUAGAUCUCUGGAAGAACAAUGGCGAUAGAUCACAGCUUGCUUACAGGAGAGAAGGCCUGAUUUGCUUCCUGGCACCUCUAGUUUACGGGAUUCUGGAUAGCAGGGAUAAAAAGGGCCCUUCCAGGCAAGAGACCUCAAAGAGCUGCAAUCAGAGGAGGCAGUGACUUCAACUCUUUUUCCUGUCUCUUGCUUCACACUGUGUUUUGAAAACUAUGAUUUACUAUACCUUGGCAUUUUUGUGGCAUACCAUCCAAAGAGUUACUGAGCUCUACAUCUGUUUAAUAUCACCAAUGAUGCAUCAUCAGUUACUCUAGGACCACAUCAUGUUUAACUUAAACAGUGUCCUAGGACGUCACGCUUCUACCCCAUCUUCAGAACGGAACCCCACACUGGACAUCACAUGACGUCGUGUGACUUCCAACAGAGGCCUCACCCACAACCAGGGUUACAGCGUCACCAAGAGGGAGCUGGGCAAGGGGCGAUAGAUUCACCUGGCUGCCUCUCUCUUUUCUUGUAGAAGCCAGGUGAAGUGAGAUGUUUUGUCUGGCCUUCUUGAUGAGACCCCAAAACCACUAAUGUUGUUCUGCUAAUACAUUUCUAUGUCUCUUCCAUGUAUUCAAAUGUACGCUUCUCGUGCCUGGUCUCAUUACAGACUUACCAGAGCUUAGAAAAGCUAUGAUUUUCAACUACAGAAUCUCCCAGAAAGCAUAGCUGGAUGUGGGAUGUUGGGAGGGAUAGUCCAAAAAACAAAUGUUUCUAAGCUCUGGUCCUUCUAACAUAAAUUAAAUUGUAUUGGUUGAGUUUCAAUUGACAUGGCAUUUUCCAACUCUAUUAGUCUAUGAUUCUAAGGACACUGGCCAGGGGCUUGGGCAGGUUUGUGUGACCACUUGUUCACUAAGUCUUUAAAACAAAAGGACUUACGUUGAUCGGAUUGAAGGCUUAUCUAGUCCAGCACUGAAUUCACACAGUGGCCAAUCUUGGCCAACACUGGGGUCAUAGUAUAUUUCCAUACCUUUCCAAUGGUUCUUUUGGUGCCAAACACGGACACUUAUUACUGCUAUAGCGUAUGCUUAUUGCAUAAGUUUCCCUCCCACAUGCCAUUCCCAACAUCUCUUCCUGCUGCUCUCCCUAGUCCCUGUCCCAGUUUCUCUAAACAAGGCAAAACCUGCAAAAACAAUACUGAAGACAGAUUCUGGUUUGAAGGAGGAGCAAGUACAUUGCAAAUACAUUAUCCCAUUUGCCUAGUUUUCUGAACUGGAAAUCAUGUCAAUAUACUGUUUUCACUUCUCUUCCCAAACCUGGUUUGUUGCAUUUUUCUGUCUCUGACACACUCAGAACCAUGAUAAUGAUAGAAUGCAGAGAAGUGAUUCUUACAUACAGUAUUUAGAUUAGGCCACCUUGUGGUAACAUGAUGAGGCCUAGUGGAAGAAAUUGCCUUUAGAAUAGUGUGCCAGGUGAGUUCUCUUUGGAUUUUCACAAUUUAAAAAUAAACAUUAUUUUAUUGCUGUGGUUA